CCUGCGUCUCUGCCGCGCCUCAUCCCAUCAACUCGGGGCCCCCACGAGUCACGAGUUUGUGGAGCGCGUGGUCUGACCUGCUUCA
rnacentral:pre_miRNA from 1 species